AUGAUGCUGAACCGCCAAUACCGCAACCUCAAACAGGGAGAUCUCUCCGUCGCCGAGUACGCUCGUCGCAUGAAGCCCCUCACCGCCGGGCUGGCCGACAUCGAGCACGCUGUCACUAAAGUGGAUCUCACCACUCAGUUUCUUCACGGCAUCGACAAACGCCUCGACACCAUCCGCGUCAUGCUCGGGGACACGGUUCCUCUGCCACCGUUUGAGACGGUCUUCUCUCGCCUGAAGCUCGCCGAGGAGAACCUCGCCCAGCGCGUGGCCGAUGAGCCGGCCACCAUCCUCGCCGUCACUGGGGGCGGCGGCCCCUCCGGGUCAGGCGGCUCCGCUCCUCGCUCCGGCGACCGCGCCAAUCGUGCCACUGACCGGGGUCCCAGC
rnacentral:rRNA from 1 species